UACGUAGGGUGCAAGCGUUGUCCGGAAUUAUUGGGCGUAAAGAGCUCGUAGGUGGUCUGUUGCGUCGGCUGUGAAAACCCGAGGCUCAACCUCGGGCCUGCAGCCGAUACGGGCAGACUAGAGUUCGGCAGGGGAGACUGGAAUUCCUGGUGAUAGCGGUGAAAUGCGCAGAUAUCAGGAGGAACACCGGUGGCGAAGGCGGGUCUCUGGGCCGAUACUGACACUGGAGG
rnacentral:rRNA from 1 species